rnacentral:rRNA from 1 species
UACGAAGGGGGCUAGCGUUGUUCGGAUUUACUGGGCGUAAAGCGCACGUAGGCGGAUUGUUAAGUCAGGGGUGAAAUCCCGGAGCUCAACUCCGGAACUGCCUUUGAUACUGGCUAUCUUGAGUUCGGGAGAGGUGAGUGGAAUGCCGAGUGUAGAGGUGAAAUUCGUAGAUAUUCGGCGGAACACCAGUGGCGAAGGCGACUCACUGGCCCGAUACUGACGCUGAGGCGCGAAAGCGUGGGGAGCAAACAGG